rnacentral:rRNA from 1 species
CCUACGGGUGGCAGCAGUGGGGAAUGAUGGACAAUGGGCGAAAGCCUGAUCCAGCCAUGCCGCGUGUGUGAAGAAGGCCUUCGGGUUGUAAAGCACUUUCAGUGGGGAAGAAAGCCUUGGGGCUAAUACCCUCGAGGAAGGACAUCACCCACAGAAGAAGCACCGGCUAACUCCGUGCCAGCAGCCGCGGUAAUACGGAGGGUGCGAGCGUUAAUCGGAAUUACUGGGCGUAAAGCGCGCGUAGGCGGUCUGAUAAGCCGGUUGUGAAAGCCCCGGGCUCAACCUGGGAACGGCAUCCGGAACUGUCAGGCUAGAGUGCAGGAGAGGAAGGUAGAAUUCCCGGUGUAGCGGUGAAAUGCGUAGAGAUCGGGAGGAAUACCAGUGGCGAAGGCGGCCUUCUGGACUGACACUGACGCUGAGGUGCGAAAGCGUGGGUAGCAAACAGGAUUAGAUACCCUGGUAGUC